UUUCCGUAGGUGAACCUGCGGAAGGAUCAUUAAAAAUGUGGUACCAAUUAUUGGUACUAAUUAAUCAUCCUACCCUUUGUGAAUUUGUUUGUAUGAAUUUUUUUAAAUGGGUCUUUCCCUAAGUUGGAUUGUUAGUAAAAUACAAAAAGACUUAGGGGAAUGACUUUUUUAAAAGACUUUUUUUAAUUAGAACUUUUUGUAUUCAUUUGUCUAAAAUUUAUUUUUAUAAUAUAAAAACAACUUUUGACAACGGAUCUCUUGGUUCUCGCAACGAUGAAGAACGCAGCAAAAUGCGAUAAGUAGUGUGAAUUGCAGAAUACGUGAAUCAUCGAAUCUUCGAACGCAUAUUGCACUUUUUUAGUUUACUAAAAAAGUAUGUCUGUUUGAGUAUCAGUAAAAUAUUCUCACAAACAUAUAUUGUUUGUGGUUAUGAGUGUUUUACAACGAUAAACAAGUUGUUUCACUUUAAAUUCUUUUUAAUUGAAUUUUUACCAAUUCAUAAAUUAAAAUUGGAUAAAAUUUUCCUUUAACCGAGAAAUAACCUAAACAAUUUUAAAUUUUAUGGAUUAAUAAACAUUCAUCAAAGGAAUCUAAUUAUACAUAAAUAACUUGAUCUCAAAUCAGAUAAGAGUACCCGCUGAACUUAAGCAUAUCAAUAAGCGGAGGAAAAGAAACUAACAAGGAUUCCCUUAGUAACGGCGAGUGAAGCGGGAAGAGCUCAAAUUUGAAAUCUUCAAGGUUUGACCUUGACGAAUUGUAGUUUAUAGAAGUGUUUUCUGUUGGAGUUUUGGUAAAAGUUCUUUGGAAUAGGACAUCAUAGAGGGUGAGAAUCCCGUAUUUGACCAUGACUUUCCAGCUGUGUGAUACACUUUCAAAGAGUCGGAUUGUUUGGGAAUGCAGUCCAAAAUGGGUGGUAAACUUCAUCUAAAGCUAAAUAUUGGCGAGAGACCGAUAGCGAACAAGUACCGUGAGGGAAAGAUGAAAAGAACUUUGAAAAGAGAGUUAAACAGUACGUGAAAUUGUCAAAAGUGAAGCGUUUGACACCAGUGUUGUUUUCUCGAAAAUCAAUUUAAUGGGUUCUUGUUUUUAAGUUAUUGUGACUUUAUCAGCGCAUUUCUUAUUUUACUUGGCUCAUUGAAUGCACUUUUCGUUUAACAAGUCAACAUCAAUUUCUUUGGUGGUAAAAAGUUUAAAGGAAGGUGGCUUGGACUUCGGCUCAAGUGUUUAUAGCCUUUUUUCUAUGCCAUCGGAGAGAUUGAGGUCUGCAGCGUAGAUCCUUCGGGUUAGAUACCUUUGUGCUAAGUUAUAGUUUUUUAUAGACAACUUGUUGACUAUAAUUAACCCUGUAAUUUACUCGCUUAGGCUAUUUUACCUACGCUUAGGAUGUUG
rnacentral:misc_RNA from 1 species